GACGAACGCUGGCGGCGUGCUUAACACAUGCAAGUCGAACGCUGAAGCUCAGCUUUUGUUGGGUGGAUGAGUGGCGAACGGGUGAGUAACACGUGAGUAACCUGCCUCCUUCUUUGGGAUAACGCCCGGAAACGGGUGCUAAUACUGGAUAUUCACUGGUCUUCGCAUGGGGGUUGGUGGAAAGGGUUUUUCUGGUGGGGGAUGGGCUCGCGGCCUAUCAGCUUGUUGGUGGGGUGAUGGCCUACCAAGGCUUUGACGGGUAGCCGGCCUGAGAGGGUGACCGGUCACAUUGGGACUGAGAUACGGCCCAUACUCCUACGGGAGGCAGCAGUGGGGAAUAUUGCACAAUGGGCGCAAGCCUGAUGCAGCGACGCCGCGUGAGGGAUGGAGGCCUUCGGGUUGUGAACCUCUUUCGCUCAUGGUCAAGCCGCAACAAUGGUUGUGGUGAGGGUAGUGGGUAAAGAAGCGCCGGCUAACUACGUG
rnacentral:rRNA from 1 species